GACCUUUAGUUUGAAACCCCGAAACCAGGUGAGCUACCCCGAGACAGCCUAUUGAGGGCCAACCCGUCUCUGUGGCAAAAGAGUGGGAAGAGCUCCGGGUAGAAGUGACAGACCUACCGAACCUGGUGAUAGCUGGUUGCCUAAGAAAUGGAUAGAAGUUCAGCCUCGUACUCCCCAAAUCAAGUAAACAUUAACAAGACAACAAGAGAAACACACGAGAGUUAGUUAAAGGGGGUACAGCCCCUUUGACAAAGGAUACAACCUUUCUAGGAGGAUAAAGAUCAUAAUACAUAAAACAUACUGUUCUAGUGGGCCUAAAAGCAGCCACCUAAACAGAAAGCGUUAAAGCUCAGACAGACAGAAGUUUAUUAUCCUGAUAAUAUAUCUCACUCCCCUAAAUACUAUUAGGCCAACCCAUGCCCACAUGGAAGAGAUUAUGCUAAAAUGAGUAACAAGAAGGCCCGCCCUUCUCCAAGCACAAGUGUAAGCCAAAUCGGACUAGCCAUUGGCAACUAACGAACUCAACCCAAGAGAGCAAUGUGGUAUUACAAAAAAACCUAGAAAAACCCACAACCUAAAUAUCGUUACCCCCACACUGGAGUGCAACAAAGGAAAGACUAAAAGAAAAGGAAGGAACUCGGCAAACACAAGCCUCGCCUGUUUACCAAAAACAUCGCCUCCUGCAACACAACCAAGUAUAGGAGGUCCAGCCUGCCCAGUGACUACAAGUUCAACGGCCGCGGUAUUUUGACCGUGCAAAGGUAGCGCAAUCACUUGUCUUUUAAAUAGAGACCUGUAUGAAUGGCUAAACGAGGGCUUAACUGUCUCCCCUUUCCAGUCAGUGAAAUUGAUCUACCCGUGCAGAAGCGGGUAUAAUAAUACAAGACGAGAAGACCCUUUGGAGCUUAAGGUACAAAACUCAACCACGUUAAGCAACUCAAUAAAAAAUGAAAACUUUGUGGAAUAUGAGAUUUUACCUUCGGUUGGGGCGACCACGGAGGAAAAAAAAGCCUCCAGGUGGACCGGGAGAAUUUCCUAAAACUAAGAGAGACAUCUCUAAGCCACAGAACAUCUGACCAAAUAUGAUCCGACUAAUAUAAGCCGAUCAACGAACCAAGUUACCCUAGGGAUAACAGCGCAAUCCUCUCCCAGAGUCCAUAUCGACGAGGGGGUUUACGACCUCGAUGUUGGAUCAGGACAUCCUAAUGGUGCAGCCG
rnacentral:rRNA from 1 species